CAGUCGCCGCGGGAACACAGAGGGUGCGAGCGUUAAUCGGAUUUACUGGGCGUAAAGCGUGCGUAGGCGGCUUCUUAAGUCGGAUGUGAAAUCCCUGAGCUUAACUUAGGAAUUGCAUUCGAUACUGGGAAGCUAGAGUAUGGGAGAGGAUGGUAGAAUUCCAGGUGUAGCGGUGAAAUGCGUAGAGAUCUGGAGGAAUACCGAUGGCGAAGGCAGCCAUCUGGCCUAAUACUGACGCUGAGGUACGAAAGCAUGGGGAGCAAACAGGAUUAGAUACCCGAGUAGUCCCUGUCUCUUAUAA
rnacentral:rRNA from 1 species